UGGGGAAUUUUGCACAAUGGGGGAAACCCUGAUGCAGCGACGCCGCGUGAUUGAGAAGGCCUUCGGGUUGUAAAAAUCUUUUCUAUGGGAAGAAAAUGACAGUACCAUAGGAAUAAGGACCGGCUAAUUACGUGCCAGCAGCCGCGGUAAUACGUAGGGGGCUAGCGUUGUCCGGAAUCACUGGGCGUAAAGGGUUCGCAGGCGGAAAUGCAAGUCAGGUGUAAAAGGCAGUAGCUUAACUACUGUAAGCAUUUGAAACUGCAUAUCUUGAGAAGAGUAGAGGUAAGUGGAAUUUUUAGUGUAGCGGUGAAAUGCGUAGAUAUUAAAAAGAAUACCGGUGGCGAAGGCGACUUACUGGGCUCAUUCUGACGCUUAGGAACGAAAGCGUGGGUAGCAAACAGG
rnacentral:rRNA from 1 species